UGUUCUUCUUAGCUACUUGCAUGAGCUCUCACCUUUUUGAUUCGUAGAAUGAUGAACUGACCACGAUGAUCUCACGCUGCUUUGAUUUGUAGAUUGCCGACUUCCCCACAUAUUAUGGUUCGUAGGUUGCUGAAUCACCCUUUUUGUUGCUUGCGCCUUAAUUCGGAACCGCGUGUUGCACUCUAUGUUGUCAUGUUGAAUGGAAGCAACAACGGCACCGAGGAAACAUGAGUUUAUCGUUCAAAAGAGGUCUCUGAAAUUUUAGAGGGUUGUGGUAUAUGAAUCAUUGCUGGAUGAGGAAAGGAGUGGGGGAGGAUCUGCAGUUUCAUGCAGCAUUGUACGAUGGAUUUAUAUGGCUGCCUGACUAGGAUGCUGGUGCCUGCAUACGAGCUGAUGUUCGGGAAGCCAUCCCUCCACAGACUCUUUGAGGGCUACUUCAAUCAAGCCGGGAGGGUGAACGCAAGGGGUCAUUUUGAAGAUGCU